UUCGAUUCUGGCUCAGGAUGAACGCUGGCGGCGUGCUUAACACAUGCAAGUCGAACGGAGAAGCAUUUUAGAAGUUUCGGAUGGAAGAAUGAUUCUUAGUGCGGACGGGUGAGUAACGCGUAAACAAUCUGCCUUAGAGAGGGGGAUAACAGAUAGAAAUAUUUGCUAAUACCGCAUAAGACCACAGGUAGGCAUCUACUAGGGGUAAAAGGAGCAAUCCGCUUUAAGAUGAGUUUGCGUACUAUUAGCUAGUUGGUGAGGUAACGGCCCACCAAGGCGACGAUGGUUAGCCGGCCUGAGAGGGUGAACGGCCACAUUGGAACUGAGAUACGGUCCAGACUCCUACGGGAGGCAGCAGUGAGGAAUAUUGGGCAAUGGGCGAAAAAGCCUGACCCAGCACCGCCGCGUGAAGGAAGAAGGUUUUAGGAUUGUAAACUUCUGUUGUAAGGGAAAAAGAAAGUGAUGGUACCUUACGAGGAAGCUACGGCAAACUAUGUGCCAGCCGCCGC
rnacentral:rRNA from 1 species